AUGAGUUCGAGAACUGAGGUACCACUGUACUCCAUUCCUGUGCCCUGUCCUGCCUGGGAUAGGCUCCAGGCCCCGCCUUGUGAUUGACAUGCUGUGUUGCUCUCCUGUGGCCAAAUAGUGUGGCGUAUGUGCAGGGCACCAUGUGAGUGUUUAUAGGUUAAAUGGGACAGGGUGGAUUAUACUUCGGAAUCAAGCUUACAGCGUAACUACAGCGUAGGCUGAUGCCCACUCCAAAAAAUAUAAGCAGUCAUUGUGCCGACAUGGACCCCUGUGAUUCUGAUUGGUCAACUUAGUAAAUACGUAUUUCCUAUGAUGUAUUUACGAUCAUUUUCCAGUUGCUGCAAGUAAACAUGAAGCAAAUCAAAGACAGACUGAUCGAGGAGGUCAGAUUGAGGGGGGCUAGAGCCUGAACAUAGGAAUGGUGUGGGGGGAGCCCUCCAGAAUGAAAAAGCCACUUGGGGGCAUAGUAGUUGAUGCACAGAGUGUUACCAGGGUCUUGUCCUUCUGUGCCUGUGGAUCAGUCCAUUUGAGCAUUUCAAUGUGGUUGCAUGCAGUUCUUUGCUGUAAAAGCUCCUACACAUCCAGGCACCAUCGACCAGCACUGCUCUGGAAACCCUCACCAUCUGUUACUGGUGCUUUUCUAUGAGGUAACCUACCACUGUAGCCAGUUACACUGCUGGACACUUUAAAGCAGAGCAUUUUGCUCAAGGACACAAGCUCAUCCCGCUCUCUGCCCACACAGGACUACAACCAUAAUCAUAAACCUACUGUAUUUGCAUUAUUUACCUUUUGGUUUGAGAAAUGUCCUAUUUUUGAUUACUUUUAAAUGACAGGGAUUUUUUUAAAUCAUACUUAGUAACCACAAUCCUUUGUCUUGUUUCCACUGCUGUACUUUUCUCAAAAACCUCUAUGGUUUUAUCACAUGAUGAAGAAGGUGGGAAUAAUGAUAAACUGAGGUAAGCUUUCAGCAGCAUUUACAGUAGUGAGGCAUUUACUUGGUCACACAGUAAUGGAAACUGUCAUUAUAAUUAUGAGAAUAAGAAUAUUUGUUUUUAAUUUUUUUUCUUAAUUAUGAUACAGGUAUACCUGAGAUUGCAUCCCAUCCAGGGUGAGCCCCUGCCUUGUGGAUAGACUGUGCUGCUGGGGAUAGACUGCAGGCCUGUUAGUAAGAUGGAUGGAUGGAUGUAUGGAUGGAUGGAUUUUACAAAACAGUAUAACAUGUAAUCUAAUAAAUUGGAAUGCGCAUGACUGGUGCACAAGCACUCAUUAGUUGUAUAAAGGAUCACAUGCAUGGUGAUUUCUUGGCUUAACAUAAAUGUGCUUUUGCUUCACUAUGACAAGAAGUUGCUGUGUGUAUUGCUUUAUACAGUGAAUGCAGACUUGUGUACCAGUUAUGUGCUUCCCUGCUAAUAAUCAUACUGAAACUGGUGGUUUAAAUUCUCCAGCUAAUCUCAUGCUCUUUGUUAAUAAGAACAUAAGAAAUUUACAAACGAGAGGGGGCCAUUCAGCUCCAGUCCAAGUCCCCCCUCCCUAACAGCCUGUCCCCCUUCCCAGCUGACCUCCUGGGUGCUGCCAAGGUGGCAAACUUGGCGUCAGCUGGUGAGUAGGGGCCCCAGACCACGUUCAGAUGGGGACUCGAGGGAAAGGGCUUUGAGUGGCACUUCAGAUAUCAAGCUUUUCCAGCCACACAGAAACUGGUCUUAUGCAUUCAAAGUGUCAAGCAUGAGUACCGAAUGUUAGCUUACCAUUUCAUAUAUCCAUGACAUUAUCAUGCGCCAUUUCUAUGAGAUUUUAAAAACAAAUGUUAUUUGCUUCAUGUGGGGUUGUUUAUAAUGUUUUGACUUAUUGGUGUAUAUUGAUUUAAUACAAAUAUACUGCAAUUUAAUCAGUUUUGAGCUGGGUUUAGACACGGAUAUGGUAUUGGUUUUAACAGGGUAAGGUAAUUUAUAUAUGAGGUAUGUACAUCAACUGUUUGGACUGUUUGAUUUCUAUGCCAUAGGACUGUAUAUUGCAUCCGGGGAUUUUUGAAAGAUAAAGUAUCCAAACCUUCUCAUGGUGACCUCCAGAUUUAACUGUAAAGUCAUAAACACCACAUGGUUAAUACUUGUUGUUUAGUGGAACCAGAAAACAUGAAUUUUAUCAGCUGAUACUUUUAUUUUUGUAGAGAUCACAUGACAGUCACAAGACUGAGGAAUCAUUACCCGCUGAUUGCAAAGGAAUGAACACAGAGGAUAUAAAACAAAGGAUCCUCCGGCUUAAUGUAAUGGAGGCUCCCUGGGUCUUUAGAUGAUGAUACCUGUCAUUUAUUAACGGUGUGAUUCAGAAGUAGGAAGCUGGCUUCUAACCAAAAGUCUCCAUUAAAAAGCAUCAUGAAUAUUUUAAAAGUUUGGUUUUCUAAUUACAGGAUCCCAUGACAAUGAGGAAACUGAAGCAUUGUCCCCCACUGAUCCCAAUGGACCAAACACAGAGGAGGGAUCACAUGACAAUCAGGAGACGGAGGCAUCAUCACCUGCUGAUCACAAUGAACCAAACACAGAGGAGGUUUUACUGGGAGAGAAGAACACAGAAGUCUGAAUGAUCUACAGUAUAGUGCUUAAUUGUAUAUUUUUGCCUGCAGUCCCAAGCCCAAGUUUGCCAGGUCAUGUUGUAUCACCAAGUUACUUGUGUUAGCAGUCAUCAGAUUAUUGAUAAUCUUUUACAGUUGACUAUCUCAAGAGUUGAGGGACUUUGCUGGGUAGCAAACAAAAAUUUCUAGGACCAGCUGCACAUGCAUAUAAGCAGAUGUUCAUCUACAGUCACCUGGGCCCAGUUGUUCAAACAAAUUAAUCCAGAUCAAAGUAAUCCAGAUUUUGAAAUCCCUUGUUUUGCUAUCCAGGAUUUGGUAAUUCAUUUUACUUUCAUGCCGGUUUUUCAAAGCAACACUGGAUUGGAUUCUGUAUCCAAAUACAGAAUUUUCAGGAUUACCAAAUCUGGUUUACUAGUGUAUUACAGUUUUUUCUAAUUGCUUAAACCCUAACUGUGAUUCUUAUAGCACAAUUUCUAAAACUAUUAAUACUUAUAGCAAAACCACUCACUGAGUUUGCAAAACUAAAAGCACAAACACUGCUUUGCACUCAGUUUGCAAUUUUGUAACACACACUUUGCAAAACUGUAGGCACAACUCACUGCUUACACUCAAUUACCAAAUUUCCAACACACUCCUAGCAAAAUUAUACACAUGUAUGGCUAUCAUUAACACUAUUUUGCCAACUGUCUGGCACACUUUCACAUGUGAAAACUGUUUUAGAGAAUUAGUUCACUUUGCAAUCAGCCUAAGCACUAUACAGUAAAUAAGCCACAGGU